UACAGAGGUCUCAAGCGUUGUUCGGAUUCAUUGGGCGUAAAGGGUGCGUAGGUGGUGCUGUAAGUCAGGUGUGAAAUCCCGAGGCUCAACCCCGGAACUGCACUUGAUACUGUAGUGCUUGAGGACUGGAGAGGAGAUCGGAAUUCAUGGUGUAGCAGUGAAAUGCGUAGAUAUCAUGAGGAAGACCAGUGGCGAAGGCGGAUCUCUGGACAGUUCCUGACACUGAGGCACGAAGGCCAGGGGAGCAAACGGG
rnacentral:rRNA from 1 species